UACGGAGGAUCCAAGCGUUAUCCGGAUUCAUUGGGUUUAAAGGGUGCGUAGGCGGAAUGAUAAGUCAGUGGUGAAAGCCUGCAGCUUAACUGCAGAACUGCCAUUGAUACUGUCAAUCUUGAGUACAUUUGAUGUGGGCGGAAUGUGUCAUGUAGCGGUGAAAUGCUUAGAUAUGACACAGAACACCGAUUGCGAAGGCAGCUCACAAAACUGUAA
rnacentral:rRNA from 1 species